AACGUAGGACGCAAGCGUUAUCCGGAGUUACUGGGCGUAAAGGGCGGGCAGGCGGCCUCGGCAAGUGGGGUGUGAAAUCUCCCAGCUUAACUGGGAGAGGCCAUUCCAGACUGCCAGGCUGGAGGGCAGUAGAGGUAGGCGGAAUUCCGGGUGGAGUGGUGAAAUGCGUAGAGAUCCGGAGGAACACCAGAGGCGAAGGCGGCCUACUGGGCUGCACCUGACGCUGAACCGCGAAAGCCAGGGGAGCGAACGGG
rnacentral:rRNA from 1 species